AGAUAUUUUUGGUUCCAACUGUUUUCACCUUAUUCACAUAUUUACCUUAAGCUCAUUUUGCAGAUUUGGUCUUAUCAAAUAAGCUAGUUGUCUAUGAUCUUGAGAAUCAAGUUAUUGGUUGGACUGACUACAACUGUUCAUCAAGCAUUAAAAUUCAUGAUGAGAAAACCGGAGCAAUUUACACUGUUGAUGCCCAUAAUUUAUCUUCCACUGCCAGAAGCUUGGAUAUUGGAAAAUUUAUCACUGUUCUCAUUAUUUGCUUGAUGUUUCAUUUAUUCCAUUGAAUCGGCAAAAAUGAUUGAUUAAUAACAUUUUUUUCUCAUGUUGGGUUCAUAUAUAUAGAUGUCAUUACCGAAAAUAAUGUGUACAAUCAUUUUCUCCAUCCUAGCUGACGGAUUUGGAGUUCUUAAUUUCUCAUUUUCAUAUUAUGCUUUGUAAA